rnacentral:rRNA from 1 species
GAUUAACGCUAGCGGCAGGCAUAAUACAUGCAAGUUGAACGGCAGCACAGGUAGCAAUACUGGGUGGCGAGUGGCUCACGGGUGCGUAACACGUAUGCAACCUACCCUAUACAGGCGAAUAACCUUUAGAAAUGAGGGCUAAUACGCCGUAGUAUUACAGAUGGGCAUCUAUUUGUAAUUAAAGAUUUAUCGGUAUAGGAUGGGCAUGCGUCCCAUUAGUUAGUUGGUAAGGUAACGGCUUACCAAGACGAUGAUGGGUAGGGGAUCUGAGAGGACUUACCCACACACUGGUACUGAGACACGGACCAGACUCCUACGGGAGGCAGCAGUAAGGAAUAUUGGGCAAUGGCCGCGAGGCUGACCCAGCCAUGCCGCGUGCAGGAAGACGGCCUUAUGGGUUGUAAACUGCUUUUAUACGGGAAUAAUAGAGUGUACGCGUACAUUUAUGCAAGUAUCGUAUGAAUAAGCAUCGGCUAACUCCGUG